CUCAUAUUACCCACUUACAGAAAUAAGCCAUACAUUGUUUAUAUAUAUAGAUCAUGCUUAAACACUUAUAGUAUACUACUAUAACUUCAUCUGUUCAGUUCUUAAUCGUUGAAGCCAAAGAAAAAUAAAAUAAAAAAUUAAAAUGAUAAGAAAAGCUUCUUCUACCUCUUCUUCCAUCAUCAUAUGCUGCUUGUUCUUGAUUGGGAUUAUCAUGGUUUCACCUGUACUCUGCGCGCGAAAUUUAUCCACUAUUUCCAGCUUCGACCCCAGGGCCAAGGUUGAAAGUACAGCAGGUCCCAAUGAUUUUCGUCACGCCCAUUCUUCAUCCUGUAGUACUGAAAUCUGUGAUCCGGAUCAUGGGUUGUAAACCAUAGAAGUAUAGUAUAGAAGGUUUAACAUGCAGCAGGUCGCAAUCACUGUUAAACCUUCGCCUCCCCCAUUAAACACAACAAUCGCUGGUAAACCAUUGCCAAGUAUGGUAUAGUAAGUAAAACAGAAACAACCAAAGCAACUGAUUCACAUGUUUGUGGUUGGGACAUUAGUUAUUUGUAAUAAAUCUCCAUUUAUUGAGAUGUGAGAGCUUGUAAUAUUAUAAAUGGUUUUGUUUUAUAUA